rnacentral:rRNA from 1 species
ACGGAAGGCAGCAGUGGGGAAUAUUGGGCAAUGGGGGGAACCCUGACCCAGCAACGCCGCGUGGAGGAAGAAGGUUUUCGGAUCGUAAACUCCUGUCCUUGGUGAAGAGCAGAAGACGGUAACCAAGGAGGAAGCCCCGGCUAACUACGUGCCAGCAGCCGCGGUAAUACGUAGGGGGCAAGCGUUGUCCGGAAUGAUUGGGCGUAAAGGGCGCGUAGGCGGCCCGGUAAGUCUGGAGUGAAAGUCCUGCCUUUAAGGUGGGAAUUGCUUUGGAUACUGUCGGGCUUGAGUGCAGGAGAGGUAAGUGGAAUUCCCAGUGUAGCGGUGAAAUGCGUAGAGAUUGGGAGGAACACCAGUGGCGAAGGCGACUUACUGGACUGUAACUGACGCUGAGGCGCGAAAGUGUGGGGAGCAAACAGGAUUAGAUACCCUGGUA